GUGAGGAAUAUUGGUCAAUGGACGGAAGUCUGAACCAGCCAAGUCGCGUGAAGGAAGACGGUUCUAUGGAUUGUAAACUUCUUUUGCCUGAGGGUAAAACGCGGUACGUGUACCGCCUUGUAAGUAUCAGGUGAAUAAGCAUCGGCUAACUCCGUGCCAGCAGCCGCGGUAAUACGGAGGAUGCGAGCGUUAUCCGGAUUUAUUGGGUUUAAAGGGUGCGUAGGCGGGAUGUUAAGUCAGCGGUGAAAGUUUGCGGCUCAACCGUAAAAUUGCCGUUGAAACUGGCGUUCUUGAGUGUAAACGAGGUAGGCGGAAUGUGACGUGUAGCGGUGAAAUGCUUAGAUAUGUCACAGAACCCCGAUUGCGAAGGCAGCUUACCAGCAUACAACUGACGCUGAGGCACGAAAGCGUGGGUAUCAAACAGGAUUAGAAACCCGAGUAGUCC
rnacentral:rRNA from 1 species